rnacentral:rRNA from 1 species
AGCAGCCGCGGUAAUUCCAGCUCCAAUAGCGUAUAUUAAAGUUGUUGCAGUUAAAAAGCUCGUAGUUGAAUUUCGGAAUCUGUCCGUUGGUCGGGCUUAAUUGUCCGUACUGAUGUGAUGGGUUCUUACCUUCUGAAUAACCAGCAUGCCAUUAAUUUAGUGUGUUGGGGAAGCAGGACUAUUACCUUAGAAAAAAUUAGAGUGCUCAAAGCAGGCUAGUGCCUGAAUACAUUAGCAUGGAAUAAUAAAAUGGGACGGCAUGGUUCUAUUUUGUUGGUUUCUAGGAUCACCGUAAUGAUUAAUAGGGAUAGGUUGGGGGCAUUUAGUAUUCAAUUGUCAGAGGUGAAAUUCUUGGAUUUAUGAAGACUAACUUCUGCGAAAGCAUUUGCCAAGGAUGUUUUCAUUAAUCAAGAACGAAAGUUAGGGGAUCGAAGACG